rfam:Schistosoma curassoni strain Dakar, Senegal genome assembly, scaffold: SCTD_contig0007937
AUCCAGCUGACGAGUGCCAAAUAGGAAGAAACGCGCGUCAAACUGCAU